rfam:Caulobacterales bacterium RIFOXYA1_FTLL_67_7 rifoxya1_full_scaffold_20702_curated, whole genome shotgun sequence.
CCUCUUGGAAUGAGGCGGGGAUCCCCCUAUAUUGGACCUGUCCGGUUUCGGCCGGACUAUAGCGAUAAACGCGCUUGUAAUAAGCGGACCGGACCCGGGUGCGAUUCCCGGCGGCUCCACCAACCUUCUCCCCGCGUUAUCGGCGGAGGCAGCAUGGGGCCGACUAGCAUCGACGGACGUGUAAAGAGGAUUGCUUUCGCUCGUCCUGGCCCACCGUAUCGGGCCAUUUUCUAACUGCGAACGAUAACUUCGCUGGAGAAGUCGCUCUCGCCGCGUAAUGCGGUUCGGGUGAUUUCGAAUCUUAAGUCCUAGGGGUUCAGAUCCUUGGGCGGGGCCUGUCGGGAGCCUGGCAACAGAAUCCCGGCGUU